rnacentral:rRNA from 1 species
UACGGGGGGGGCAAGCGUUGUUCGGAAUUACUGGGCGUAAAGGGCUCGUAGGUGGCCAACUAAGUCAUACGUGAAAUCCCUCGGCUUAACCGGGGAACUGCGUCUGAUACUGGAUGGCUUGAGGUUGGGAGAGGGAUGCGGAAUUCCAGGUGUAGCGGUGAAAUGCGUAGAUAUCUGGAGGAACACCGGUGGCGAAGGCGGCAUCCUGGACCAACACUGACGCUGAGGAGCGAAAGCCAGGGGAGCAAACGGG